rnacentral:rRNA from 1 species
ACGAACGCUGGCGGCGUGCCUAAUACAUGCAAGUAGAACGCACAGUUUAUACCGUAGCUUGCUACACCAUAGACUGUGAGUUGCGAACGGGUGAGUAACGCGUAGGUAACCUGCCUGGUAGCGGGGGAUAACUAUUGGAAACGAUAGCUAAUACCGCAUAAUAUUAAUUAUUGCAUGAUAAUUAAUUGAAAGGUGCAAUUGCACCACUACCAGAUGGACCUGCGUUGUAUUAGCUAGUAGGUGAGGUAACGGCUCACCUAGGCGACGAUACAUAGCCGACCUGAGAGGGUGGUCGGCCACACUGGGACUGGGACACGGCCCAGACUCCUACGGGAGGCAGCAGUAGGGGAUCAUCGGCAAUGGACGAAAGUCUGACCGAGCAACGCCGCGUGAGUGAAGAAGGUUUUCGGAUCGUAAAGCUCUGUUGUAAGAGAAGAACGGGUGUGAGAGUGGAAAGUUCACACUGUGACGGUAUCUUACCAGAAAGGGACGGCUAACUACGUG